rnacentral:tRNA from 1 species
UGUUCUGUGGCUUAAUUAGAUAAAGCGCCGGACUAGCGAUACGGAGUCGUGGGGUUCGAAACCCACCAAAACAA